rnacentral:lncRNA from 10 species
UGCCCAGGUGAAGCCCCACGUCUGCCUGGCCAGGUGCAGUUGAAGUGGUGACAUCCAGCCAGGGAGGGGGAGGAGCACCUGAGUACCAGCCUCCAGCCUUGGGGCAUCAGUUGUUGGAACCAGCCAGGUUCACUGAAGACUAGAAAUAGGACACUGAAGAGGAAGAAAGGCUGAUAAGAGACCAGUGGAAAUGUUAUAAAAGCAAACAUCAAAAUUCAAAGACCAGUCAGUGAGAGAGCUUUAAAGAAAAAAAAAAGCUGUGCUACCCCUCCACUAACUGCAGAGAGUGGCAUAAAACAAGGGACUGACUGACCUCAUAACAACUCUGAAUCCUAAAGAAAAGGGUAAGUUCCAAUUCUUCAGUUUACAAACUCAAGGAACAAAUGUGAUAUGCUUUAGCAAAGUUUCAAAUUGAUAAGCAUGUGAAAAAAUGUUCCACAUCAUCUGGAAACUGCAAUGGAAACAAUGAGGUACCGUUACACACCUAUCAGUGAACCUAGUGAAACAGCUGUUAGGCUUGUUAGCCUCAUUAUUGCUAUUAGAAUGGCAAAACCCAAACUACCGACACUACCACAUGCUGAUGAGGAUGUGGAGCAACAGAAACCUUUAUCCAUUGCAAGUGGGAAUAUGUAACGGUACAGCCACUUUGGAAGAUAGUCUGGUAGCUUCUUAUAAAACUAUACAUACUCUUACCAUACGUUCUGGCAAUCACAUUCGUAUUUACUCAAGUUGAAAACUUAUGCACUUGCAAAAACCUGCACAUGAAUGUUUAUAGCAGUUUUACUCAUAAUCGCUAAAACUUGGAUGCAAACAAGAUGUCCUUGAGUAGGUGAAUGGAUAAACAAAUUGUGGUACAUCCAGACAAUGGAGUGUUAUUCAGUGCUAAAAAGAAAUGAGCUAUCGUGCUACAGGAAGACAUGGAAACUUAAAUGCAUACUGCUAAGUAAAAGAAGCCUGUCUGAAACAGCUACAUACGAUUCCAACUAUAUGACAUUCUGGAAAAGACAAAACUAGAGAGUCACUAAAAGGCUCAGUGGUUGCCAGGAAUUGGGAGGCGAGGGAAAAAUGAAUAGGUGGAACACAGGGAAUUUUUAAGCAGUGAAACGAUUUUGUCUGCUGUUGUAAAGAUGGAUACAUGACAUUAUGCUUUUGUCAAAACCCAUAAAAGUGUAUAACACAAAGUGAACCCUAAUGUCAACUACUGUCAAUUACUGAAUAAUAAUGCAUCAACAUCAGUUGAUCAAUUAUAACAAAUAUACCACACUAAUGUAAGAUGUUAGUAAGAGGAGAAACUGGGGCGGGGGUUGUAAGUAAAUGGGAGCUCCAAAUUUUCUGCUCAAUUUUUCUGUAAACAUAAAACUGCUCUAAAAAAAAUAAAGUCUAUUAACUAAAAAAAUUGUUUGGAGGAGGUCAUAAAGUAAGACUUAGUCAUCUAGAAAAUGCACCAUAUGGAACAUCUACUUUGCAAUGGUGCUACACAAAUAAGACAAGUGUAUUGAUUAUGCCAGUUGGAAUUAACUGAAAAAACACACAUCUUACCUGCAUCAACCUUGAAAUUAUUGGCAUAAGCACAGCAAAUACAAAAUGUCAGGUUUAUAAUAUGUGAUUUUAUGAGAACAAAAAUCUGGGGAAAGCCAUCCCUUACUAGUGAGGGGUUUGUUGCUCCCACUGGUGGCAAGAAGUGCACCCGUGACUAUAGGUCAAAAUGAACCACAAAGAAAGCGAUGACAACCAACACUCUAUAAAUUUAUUACCAAAU